AACAGGAUUAGAUACCCUGGUAGUCCACGCCGUAAACGAUGUCGACUUGGAGGUUGUGCCCUUGAGGCGUGGCUUCCGGAGCUAACGCGUUAAGUCGACCGCCUGGGGAGUACGGCCGCAAGGUUAAAACUCAAAUGAAUUGACGGGGGCCCGCACAGGCGGUGGAGCAUGUGGUUUAAUUCGAUGCAACGCGAAGAACCUUACCUACUCUUGACAUCCAGAGAACUUUCCAGAGAUGGAUUGGUGCCUUCGGGAACUCUGAGACAGGUGCUGCAUGGCUGUCGUCAGCUCGUGUUGUGAAAUGUUGGGUUAAGUCCCGCAACGAGCGCAACCCUUAUCCUUUGUUGCCAGCGGUUCGGCCGGGAACUCAAAGGAGACUGCCAGUGAUAAACUGGAGGAAGGUGGGGAUGACGUCAAGUCAUCAUGGCCCUUACGAGUAGGGCUACACACGUGCUACAAUGGCGCAUACAAAGAGAAGCGACCUCGCGAGAGCAAGCGGACCUCAUAAAGUGCGUCGUAGUCCGGAUUGGAGUCUGCAACUCGACUCCAUGAAGUCGGAAUCGCUAGUAAUCGUAGAUCAGAAUGCUACGGUGAAUACGUUCCCGGGCCUUGUACACACCGCCCGUCACACCAUGGGAGUGGGUUGCAAAAGAAGUAGGUAGCUUAACCUUCGGGAGGGCGCUUACCACUUUGUGAUUCAUGACUGGGGUGAAGUCGUAACAAGGUAACC
rnacentral:rRNA from 1 species